rnacentral:rRNA from 1 species
UACAGAGGUCUCAACCGUUGUUCGGAUUCAUUGGGCGUAAAGGGUGCGUAGGCGGCGGGGCAAGUCAGGUGUGAAAUCUCGGGGCUCAACCCCGAAACUGCACUUGAUACUGCCUUGCUCGAGUACUGGAGAGGAGACUGGAAUUCAUGGUGUAGCAGUGAAAUGCGUAGAGAUCAUGAGGAAGACCAGUGGCGAAGGCGGGUCUUUGGACAGUUCCUGACACUGAGGCACGAAGGCCAGGGGAGCAAACGGG